CCUAAACCCUGACCAUAAACCCUGACCCUGACACUAAAAACUGACCCUGACCCUAAACUCGAACACUAAACCCUAAAACCUAACCUUAACCCCUAAACCCGAUCCCGAACCAUAACCCUAACACUAAACUAAACCCUAAACCCUAACCUGUGUAGGGAGUGAGGAGGUGGGAGGGACUAGGCUGGGCGCUGUGAAGGGACUCAGGAGGUGGGAGAGACCAUGCAGGGCCCUGUAUAGAGAGUGAGAGACCAGGCAGGGCACUGUACAGGGAGUAAGAUGGUGGGACAAAAGAGACAGAAACCUGUGUAGGGAGUGAAGAGCUGAGAGACCAGACAGAGACCUUUGUAGGGAGUGAGGAGGUGGGUGAGACCAGGCAGGGCCCUGAGUAGGGAGAGAGGAGAUGGAAGAGACCAGGCAGGGACAGGUGUAGGAAGUGAGGAGGUGGGAGGGACCAGGAAGGGCCCUGUGUAAGGAGUGAGGAUGUGGAAGAGAACAGGCAGAGAACUGUGUAGGGAGUAAGGAGGUGGGACAGACCAGGCAGAGACCUUUACAGGGAUGGAGGAGGUGGGAGAGAAAAGGCGGGGCCCUGAGUAGGGAGUGAGGAGCUGGGAGCAACCAGGCACGGCCAUGUCUAGGGAGUGAGGAGGUGGGAGAGGUCAGGCAGGGACCUGUGUAGGGAGUUAGGCCUUAGGAGAGACCAGGCAGAGACCUGCAUAGGGAGUGAGGAGGUGAGAGAGACCAGGUAGGAUGCUGUGUAAAGAGUGAGGAUGUAGGAGAGACCAGGCAGGGCCCUGUGUAGGGAGUGAAGAGGUGGGAGAACCAUUCAGAGACCUGCAUAGGGAGUGAGGAGAUGGGAGAGACCAGGAAGGGCCCUCCGUAGGGAGUGAGUUGGCCAGAGAUCAGGCAUGUCCCUGUAUGGAGUAAGGAUAUGGGAGAGACCAGGCAGGGCCCUGUGCAGGGAGUUAGGAGGUGGGAGAGAAGAGGCAGAGAAGAGUGUAGGGAGUGAGGAGGUGGGACAGACCAGGCAGGGCUCUGUGCAUAGAGAAGAUGGGAGACACCAGACAGGGCCCUGUGUAGGGAGUGAAGAAGAGGGAGACCCAGGUAGAGUCCUGCUUAGGGAGUGAGGAGAUGGGAGAGACCAGGCAGAGCCAAGUAUAGGGAGUGAGGAGAUGGGAGAGACCAGGCAGGCCCUGUGUAAGGAGUGAUGAGGUGGGAGAGACCAAGCAGGACCCUGUGCAGGGUGUGAGGGGGAGGGAGCAUCCAGGCAGGGCCCUGUGGAGGGAGUGAGGUGUUGGGAGAGACCACACAGGUCCUGUGUAGGGAGCGAGAAUGUGCCAGAGAUCAGGCAGGGCCCUGUGUAGAGAGUGAGGAAGUGGGAGAGAACAGACAGAGACAUAUGUAGGGAGUAAGCAGAAGGGAGACACCAGGCAGGGCCCUCUGUAGGGAGUGAGGAGGAGGGACAUACCAGGCAGGGCCCUGUGUAAGGAGUGAGGAGGUGGGAGAAUCCAGGCAGACACCUGUGUAGGGAGUGAGGAGCUGGAAGAGACCAGGCAGGGACCUGUGUAGGUCCUGAGGAGGUGGGAGAGGCCAGGCAGCGUCCUGUGUAGGGAGUGAGAAGGUGGGAGAGACCAGGCAGGGCCCUAUGUUGGGAGUGAGGAUGCAGGAGAGAAGAGGCAGAGAUGUGGGAGAGACCAGGCAAAGACCUGUGAAGGGACUGAGGAGGUGGGAGAGACCUGGCAGGGCCCAGUGUAGGGAGUGAGUAUCUUGGAGAGAAGAGGCAGAGACCUGUGUAGGGAUUGAGAAGAAGGAGAGACCAGGCCGGGCCCUGUGGAGGGAGUGAGGAGGUGGGAGAGGCCAGGCAGAGCCCUGUGUAGCGAGUGAGGUGUUAGGAGAGACCAGGCAGGGCCCUGUGUAGGGAGUGAUGAGGUGAGAGAGACCAGGUAGGACCCUGUGUACAGAGUGAGGAUGUGGAAGAGAACAGGCAAGGCUGUGUGUAGGAAGUAAGGUGGUGGAGAUACCAGUCAGGGACCUGUGUAGGGAUUGAGGAAGUGGGAGAGACCAGGCAGGACCCUGUGUAGGGAGUGAGGAGGUGGGAGAGACCAUCAGGGCCCUGUGUAGGGAGUGAGGAGGUGAUAGAGAACAGGUAAGGCCCUGCAUACACAGUGAGGAGUUGGGAGAGACCACCCAGAUACCUGAGUAGGGAGUCAGGAUGUGGGAGAGAUCAGGCAGAGCCCUGUGUAGGAAGUGAGGUGUUAGGAGAGACCAGGCAGGGCCCUGUGUAGGGAGUGAGGAGGUGGGAGAGACCAGGCAGUGGCUUGUUUAGGGAGUGAGCAGGUGCGAGAGAACAUCAGGGCCCUGUGUAGGGAGUGAGGAGGAGGGAGAAAACAGGCUAACACCUGUGUAUGUAGUAAGGAGGUGGGAAAGACCACCCAGAGACCUGUGUAGGGAUUGAGGAAUGGGAGGGAACAGGCAGAGAACUGUGUAGGGAGUGAGGAGGUAGGAGAGACCAGGCAAGGCCCUGUGUAGGGAGCGAAGAGGUGGAGAACCAGGCAGAGUCCUGCAUAGGGAGUGAGAAGGCGAGAGAGGACAGGCAGAGCCCUGCGUAGGGAGUGAGGAGGUGGGAUUGACUAGGCAGGACCCUGGGUAGGGUGUGAGGAGGUGGGAGAUUCCAGGCAGGGCCCUUUGUAGGGAGUGAGGUGUUGGGAGAGACCAGGCAGAGUCCUGUGUAGGGAGUGAGGAUUUGGGAGAGACCAGGCAGGGCCCUGUGUAUGGCCUGAGGAGGUUAGAAAUACCAGGCAGGGCCCUGAGUAGGGAGUGAGGAAGUGGGAGAGAAGAGGCAGGGCCCUGUCUAGGGAUUGAAGAGGUGGGAGAGAACAGGCAGAGACCCUUGUAGGGAAUGGGGAGGUGGGAGAACCAUGCCGAGACCUGUGUAGGGAUGGAGAAGGUGGGAGGGACCAGUUAGGGCCCUGUGUGUGCAGUCAGGAUGUGAGAGAGAGGAGGCAGGGCCCUGUGUGAAUUGAGGAUGGGGGAGAGGCCAGGCGGGGCCCUGUUUAGGGAGUGAGGAGGUGGGAGAGAUCAUCAGGGCCCUGUAAAGGGAGUGAGGAGGUGAGAGAGGCCAGUCAGGGACCUGUGUAGGGAGUUAGGCGUUAGGAGAGACCAGGCAGGGCCCUGUGUAGGGAGUGAGGAGGUGGGAGAGACCAGGCAGAGACCUGCAUAGGGAGUGAGGAGGUGAGAGAGACCAGGUAGGAUGCUGUAUAAAGAGUGAGGAUGUAGGAGAGACUAGCCAGAGCCCUGUGUAGGGAGUAAGGAGGUGGAGAGACCAGGCAGGGUCCUGUUUAGGGAGUGAGGAGGUGGGAGAGAUCAUCAGGGCCCUGUAAAGGGAGUGAGGAGGUGGGAGAGACCACCCAGAUACCUGUGUAGGGACUGAGGAGGUGGGAGAGAAAAGACAGAGCCCUGUGUAGGGAGUGAGGAGGUGGGAGAUACCAGGCAGGGCCCUGUGUAGGGAGUGAGGAGGUGGCAGGGAGCAGUCAGAGACCUGUGUAGGGAGUGAGGAGGUGGCAGAGACCAGGCAGGGCCCUGUCUAGGGAGUGAGGAGUUGGAAGAGACCAGGCAGAGACCUGUGUACUGAGUCAGGAGGUGGGAAAGAACAGGCAGGACUGUGUUUAGCAAGUGAGGGGGUGAGAGAGAAUAGGCAGAAACUUGUGUAGGGAGUGAGAAGAUGGAAGACAGCAGGCAGGGCCCUGUGUAGGGAGUGAAGAGGUGGGAGAAACAUUCAGAGACCUGAAUAGGGAGUGAGGAGUUCAGGCAAGUCCCUUUGUAUGGAGUAAGGAUGUGGGAGAGACCAGGCAGGGCCCUGUGCAGGGAGUGAGGAGGUAGGAGAGAUCAGGCAGGGACUGGUGUAGGGAGUGAGGAGGUGGGAGAGACCAGGCAGGGCUCCGUGUAGGAAGUGAGGAAGUGGGAAAGAACAGGCAGAAAGCUGUGUAUGGAGUGAGAAGAUGGGAGACACUAGCCAGGGCCCUGUGUAGGGAGUGAAGAGGUGGGAGAACAAGGCAGGGUCCUGCAUAGAGAGUGAGGAGGUGGGAGAGGACAGGCAGAGCCCUGCUUAGGGAGUGAGGAUGUGGGAGAGACAAAGCAGGGCUCUUUGUAAGGAGUGAUGAGGUGGGAGAGACUAGGCAGGACCCUGCUAGGGGUUAUUGAUAUUGUAAGGGUUAGGUUUAGGGUUAGGGUAGGGGUAAGUUAGGGUUAAGGCUAGCUUUACUGUAAAGGGUGGGGCCAGGUUAGGGUUAGGGUUAGGUUUAGAGUUCGAGUUAGAUCUAGGGUUUAGGGUUAGGGUUAGGGUCCAGUUUAGAGUUAUUGUUAGGUUUAGGGUUAGGGUUAGGGUAGAGUUAAGGUUAGGGUUAAGUUUAGGGUUAGGGUAAGGAUUAAGUUUAGGUCAGGGUUAGGGUUAGGAUGAGUGAUAGGGUUAGGGAAAGGGUUAGGGGUUCGUGUGACGGUUAGUGUUACAUUUACAGUUAAGCUGAUGUUUUAGGGUGUUACUGCCAGGGUUAGGGUUAGAGUUAGGGUUAGGGUUAGGGCGAGAAUUAGAGGAUAGUUUAGGGUUAGGUGUAAUUUUAGGGUUAGGGUUAGGCUUAGGUUUAGGGUGAAGUUUAGGUUAAGGAUGAGGGUUAGGAUUAGGCUUUGGUGUUUAGGUUAAGGUUAGCGUUACAUUUAGGGUUAGGCUUAGUGUUAGGUUUUGCGUUAAGUGUUUGGGUUAAUGUUAGGGUCAGGUUUAAGGUUAGGUUUAGGGUUAGGGUUAGUGUUUGGUUUAGGGUUAGGGUUAGGGUGAAGUUUAAGUUAAGGGUGAGUGUUGAGCUUAGGGUUAGUGUUGGGGUUAGGGUUAGGGUUAAGGUUAGAAUUAAGUUUAGGGUUAAGGUCAGGUUUAGAGUUAGGGUAAGUGUUAGGGUUAAGUCAUAGUUAGGUUUAGGACUAGUUUUUAGUUAGAGAUAGGGUUGGGUUCAGGGUUGGGCUUAGGUUUAGAUGUUAGGGUGAGGGAUAGUGCUAGGUUUCCAUUCAAACUGAGUGUGUAGGGUAAGUUUUAGGGUUAAAGUUAGAGUUAGAGUCAGGGUUAGGUUUAAGUUUAGUGUUGGGAUUAUGUUUAUGGUUAGGGUCAGGGUUGGGGAGAUUUAGUGUUUAGGGUUACAGUGAAUUUAUGUUCUGCGAGAGGGUUAGGGUUAGGGCUUUGGGUUCGGGUUAGGGGUUUGGGUUAGAGUCAGGGUUAGGGUUAGGUUUAGGGUUAGGGUUAGGUUUAGUGUUAGUGUUAGUUUUGCUUAGGGUUAGGGUUUGAAUGAAGUUAGGGUAGGCUUAGCGUUAUGCUUAGGGUGAAAUUUUGGUUAAGGGUGAGGGUUCGGCUUAGGCUUAGGGUUAGAGUUAGGGUCAGUGGUUAGGGUUAGGUUUAGGGUUAAGGUUAGGUUUAGGCUAAGGAUUAGGGUUAGAGUUACGGUUAAGGGUUAACAUUUCAGUUAGGUUUAGGUUAGGGUUAUAAUUAGGGUUAAGUUUAGGGUUAGGGUAAGAGUGAGAGUUACAUUUACAGUUAAGAUGAGGGUUUUGGGUAAGUGUUACAGUUAAGAUUAGGGUUAGGGCUAGGGUUAGGGUUAGAGUUAGGUUUAAGAUUAUGGUAGGCUUAAAGAUAGGGUUAAGGUUAGGUUAGGGUUAGGGUCAGGGUUAGGAUUAGAAUUAGGUUUAGGGUGAGGAUUAGGGUCAGAGUUAUUGUAAGGGUUAGGUUUCGGGUUACAGGUGGGCCAAGGUUAAGGUGAGGGUUAGGUUUAGGGGUAGGGUUAGGGUUAAAGUUAGAGCGAGUUUUAGGUUAGGAAUAGGGUGAAGUUUAAGACAGGGUGAGGGUUAGGGUUAUGGCUAAGGUUUGGGCUUGUUUUCAGGUUAGUGUUAAGGUUAUGUUCAGGGUUAGGGUUAAGUUCAUGGGUUGUGUUUAGUUUUAGGGUUAGGGUUAGAUUUAAGGUUAGGGUUAAGUUUAGUGUUACGGUUAGGGUAAGGGUUACGGUUGUGUUAGGCGUUGUGGUUGGGGUGAGGGUUAGGUUUAGGGUUAGGGUUGGGUAGGGUUUGGAUUAUGGUUAUGGUAAGGUGUUAGAGUUAGAGGUGUAGUUUAGGAUUAGGUUUUGGGUGAGGGUUCCGGUUAGACCUUGUGGUUCUGGUCAUGGUUAGGUUUGGUUUAGGGUUAGGGUUAGGUUCAUGAUUAGGUUUCGGGUUAGUGUUAGAGUUAGGGUGAGAGUUAGGGUUAAGGUUUUUGCUAGGCUUUCGCUUUGGUGUUAGGGUUUGGGUUAGGGUUAGGGUUAUCAUUAGGGCUCAGGGGUUUCAGGUUAGUGUUAGGGUUAGGGUUAGGGAUAGCAUUAGGGUUAGCGUUGUGGGAUACGGUUAGGGGUUAGGGUGAGGGUUACGGUUAGUUUUACAGUUAAGGUGAGGGUUUAGGGUAAGUGUUAUGAUUAGGGUUAGAGUUAGAGUUAGGGUUAGGUUUAGGGUUAGGGUUAGGUGUAGGGUAAGAUUUAGGUUUAGGUCCAAGUUGAGGGUUAGACUUAGUGUUCUAUUUAGGGUCAAGGUUAGAGUUAGGGUUAGGGUUAGGAUUAGGUCUAGGUUUAGGAUUAGGAUUAAGUUUAGGGUUAGGUUCAGGGCUAUUGUAAGUGUUUGGUUUAGGGUUACAGAUGGACUAGCGUUAUUCUUAGAGUUAGGUUUAAGGUUAGGGUUUGGGUUAGGUCUAGGUUUAGGGUUAAGGUUAUGGUUAGUGUUUGGAUGAAGUUCAGGAUAGGGUGAGGGUUAUUUUUAUGGUGAGGGCUAGGGUUUGGGUUUGUGUUCAGGUUAGUGUUAAGGAUAGGUUUAGGGUUCGGUUAGGGUUAGGCGUUAUGUCUAGGGUCAGCGUUAGGUUAGGUUUAGGGUUAGUGUCAAGUUUAGGUUAAGGGUGAGGGUUAUGAUAAGGGUUAGGAUUAUAGACGGUGUUAGACGUUAGGUUUAGGGUGUUAGGGUUAGGUUUAUGGUUAGGGUAGAUUUAAGUUUAGGUUUAAUAUUAGGGUUAGGGUUAGAUUUGGGUUACUGUUCGUAUUAGGGUUAGGGUUAGGGAUAAGUUUGGGGCUAGCGUUAGGUUUAGGGUUGGGGAUACGGUUAAGGAUUAGGGUGAGGGUUAGGGUUAGGUUUACAGUUAAGGCGAGGGUUUAGGGUAAUUGUUAUGGUUAGGGUUAGAGUUAGAGUUAGGCUUAGGGUUAGGGUGAAGUUUCAGUUAGUAGUCAGGGUUAGGCUUAAGGUUAGAGUAGGGUUAAGGUUAGUGUUUGGGUUAGGUAUAGCGUUAGGGUAUGGGUAGGGGUAAGGUUAGGGUUAAGGCUAGGUUUACGGUAAAGGGUAGGGCUAGCUUAGGGUUAGAUUUAGAGUUAGAGUUAGUGCUAGGGUUUAGGAUUAUGGUUAUGGUCAGGUUUAGAGUUAUUGUUAGGGUUAGGGUAGAGUUAA